rnacentral:rRNA from 1 species
GACGAACGCUGGCGGCGUGCUUAACACAUGCAAGUCGAACGGGCUCUGUCUGGCUGUGUGCUGGGUGGGGUUCGUGGCGAACGGGUGAGUAUUACGUGAUUAACCUGCCCUCUUCUUUGGGAUAAGCCUUGGAAACGGGGUCUAAUACUGUAUAUUCCUGUCUGGUCGCAUGGCUGGGUGGGGAAAGUUUUUUCGGUGGGGGAUGGGCUCGCGGCCUAUCAGCUUGUUGGUGGGGUGAUGGCCUACCAAGGCGUCGACGGGUAGCCGGCCUGAGAGGGGGCACGGCGAAACUGGGACGGGGUUCAGGCCCAGACGGGUAGGGGAGGCAGGAGAGGGGGGUAAUGGGCAGUGGGCGCGAGCCUGAUGCAGCGACGCUGCGUGGGAGAUGACGGGUUUGGGGUGGUAAACCUCUUUCGGCGGGGGACAAGGCUCUGCUUGGUGGUGGGGUUGAGGGUACCCGGUGAAGAAGCGCCGGCUAACUACGUG